GAUUGAACCAUGUCUAACAAAAUUCAACUUCUCCUUUCAGAUACAUUGUGUUCCGAAAAAGAAUCCACUGAGAGAGAAUCCAAUUCUCUCCUAGAUAUGUCACAAACUCAUUGGAUAAGUAUCCGCCUCCUCGAUCUGAUCGAAGAGUUCUAACAUCUUAUCCAGUUUGUUUCAAUCUUUCAUUAUUGAAUCAUUUGAACAUUUCAAAUGAUUCAGGCCAGAUGCACCCAUGCCCAGAUAGGUCAUCUGUAAUGAAAUAUUAAUAUCUUUCUCUGGCACUUAAGUUCACAGGUUC
rnacentral:lncRNA from 1 species